rnacentral:rRNA from 1 species
UGGGGAAUAUUGCACAAUGGAGGGAACUCUGAUGCAGCGACGCCGCGUGAGUGAUGAAGGAAUUCGUUUCGUAAAACUCUGUUCUAUGGGAAGAAAAGGACUGUACCAUAGGAGAAAGCUCCGGCUAAAUACGUGCCAGCAGCCGCGGUAAUACGUAUGGAGCGAGCGUUGUCCGGAAUUAUUGGGCGUAAAGGGUUCGCAGGCGGCUUUACAAGUUGGAUGUGAAAUAUUGUGGCUCAACCACAAACGUGCAUCCAAAACUGCAAAGCUUGAGUUAAGGAGAGGUAAGUGGAAUUCCUGGUGUGGCGGUGGGAUGCGUAGAUAUCAGGAGGAAUACCGGUGGCGAAGGCGACUUACUGGACUUAAACUGACGCUCAGGCACGAAAGCGUGGGGAGCAAACAGG